AAAACAUAGUUGAGGAAAAAUGAAUCUCACACUUUAUUUAAUAGCAACUAAAGUAUUUAUAUAUAGGUGUGAACAAAGAAGUGGAAAAAGAAUUGAGCUAAACUAAUUAACAAACUUAGUUGAAUCGACUAACAAACUUUAUAACAUUUUCCUAAUCAGCUUGGUUACUAAACAAAAUAAUUUAACUACUUUAGCUACUUGUUUCAGCUACUUCUUCUCGGCUAAUACCCCCUCGCAAGUUGGAGAAUG
rnacentral:misc_RNA from 1 species